UGCGUAGGCGGCUUGACAAGUUGGUAGUGAAAUUCCGAGGCUUAACUUCGGCGCUACUACCAAGACUGCCGAGCUUGAGUACGGGAGAGGUAAGUGGAAUUCCUAGUGUAGCGGUGGAAUGCGUAGAUAUUAGGAGGAACAUCAGUGGCGAAGGCGACUUACUGGACGAUAACUGACGCUGAGGCACGAAAGCGUGGGGAGCAAACA
rnacentral:rRNA from 1 species